UACAGAGGGGCAAGCGUUAUUCGGAAUUAUUGGGCGUAAAGGGCGCGUAGGCGGCUUGGCAAGUGGAUGGUGAAAUCCCUCGGCUUAACCGAGGAACUGCCGUCCAAACUGCUUCGCUUGAGACCGGGAGAGGUGAGUGGAAUUCCCAGUGUAGCGGUGAAAUGCGUAGAUAUUGGGAGGAACACCAGUGGCGAAGGCGGCUCACUGGACCGGUACUGACGCUGAGGCGCGAAAGCG
rnacentral:rRNA from 1 species